UGAGGAAUAUUGGUCAAUGGACGCAAGUCUGAACCAGCCAAGUCGCGUGCAGGAAUAAGGCCCUAUGGGUCGCAGACUGCUUUUGCAUGAGAAUAAAAAGUGGGACGAGUCCCACCCUGUAGGUAUCAUGCGAAUAAGGAUCGGCUAACUCCGUGCCAGCAGCCGCGGUAAUACGGAGGAUCCGAGCGUUAUCCGGAUUCAUUGGGUGUAAAGGGUGCGUAGACGGGAAGAUAAGUUAGUUGUGAAAUCCCUCGGCUUAACUGAGGAACUGCAACUAAAACUGUUUUUCUUGAGUACUGGAGAGGAAAGUGGAAUUCCUAGUGUAGCGGUGAAAUGCGUAGAUAUUAGG
rnacentral:rRNA from 1 species